rnacentral:rRNA from 1 species
AGUGGAUGGGGAGCAACCUAGUUGUGCGUGUAUAAAGGUAGUGCCAAGAAAAGCGGUGAUCAUGAUGAAAAUCAAUUCCCGGUACCCGAAACCGACACAGGUGGGCAAGUAGAGAAUACUAAGGGGCGCGAGGUAACUCUCUCCAAGGAACUCGGCAAAAUGACCCCGUAACUUAGGGAGAAGGGGUGCCUCCGAGAGGUGGUCGCAGUGAAGAGGCCCAGGCGACUGUUUAGCAAAAACAUAGGUCUCUGCAAACUCGAAAGAGGAGGUAUAGGGGCUGACGCCUGCCCAGUGCCGGAAGGUUAAAGAAGUUGGUCAGUCUUAGGAUAAAGCUAGCGACUGAAGCCCCGGUGAACGGCGGCCGUAACUAUAACGGUCCUAAGGUAGCGAAAUUCCUUGUCGGGUAAGUUCCGACCCGCACGAAAGGCGUAACGAUCUGGGCGCUGUCUCGGAGAGAGGCUCGCGAAAUAGGAUUGUCUGUGAAGAUACGGACUACCUGCAUUUGGACAGAAAGACCCUAUGAAGCUUUACUAUAGCUUGGAAUUGUGUUCGGGCUUCCUGUGCGCAGGAUAGGUGGGAGGCGAAGAAGGUAUUCUUGUGGGGAUACUGGAGCCAACGGUGAGAUACCACUCUCAGGAGGCUAGAAUUCUAACUUAAUUAAGGACAGUUUCAGGUGGGUAGUUUGACUGGGGCGGUCGCCUCCAAAAAGGUAACGGAGGCGUACAAAGGUUCCCUCAGACUGGUUGGAAAUCAGUCGCAGAGUGCAAAGGCAGAAGGGAGCUUGACUGCGAGAAGUACAGUUCGAGCAGGGUGGAAACACGGUCUUAGUGAUCCGACGGUGCUGUGUGGAAGGGCCGUCGUUCAACGGAUAAAAGUUACUCUAGGAUAACAGGCUGAUCUCCCCCAAGAGUUCACAUCGACGGGGAGGUUUGGCACCUCGAUGUCGGCUCAUCGCAACCUGGGGCGGAAGUACAUCCCAAGGGUUGGGCUGUUCGCCCAUUAAAGCGGUACGUGAGCUGGGUUCAGAACGUCGUGAGACAGUUCGGUCCAUAUCCGAUGUAGGCGUGAGAAUAUUGAGAGGAGCCUUCCUUAGUACGAGAGGACCGGGAAGGACGCACCGCUGGUGUACCUGUUAUGAUGCCAAUUGUAAACGCAGGGUAGCCAAGUGCGGAGAGGAUAACCGCUGAGAGCAUCUAAGUGGGAAGCCCACCUCAAGAUGAGUAUUCUGGUGUAAGGUCACGGGAAGACGACCCGUAAAUAGGCACGAGGUGGAAGUGCAGAGAUGUAUGAAGCCGAAGUGUACUAAUAGACCGUCGGCUUGACC